AAACUCCCGUGCUGAUCAGUAGU
rnacentral:piRNA from 2 species